rnacentral:rRNA from 1 species
UACGUAGGGGGCAAGCGUUGUCCGGAAUCAUUGGGCGUAAAGAGCGUGUAGGCGGCUCGGUAAGUCCGCUGUGAAAGUCCAGGGCUCAACCCUGGAAUGCCGGUGGAAACUGUCGAGCUAGAGUCCGGAAGAGGCGAGUGGAAUUCCUGGUGUAGCGGUGAAAUGCGCAGAUAUCAGGAGGAACACCGAUGGCGAAGGCAGUGUUCUGGGCCAGUACUGACGCUGAGGAGCGAAAGCGUGGGUAGCAAACAGG